rnacentral:lncRNA from 1 species
UAGAUAGUAAGAAACAUUAGGACAUUACCUGUGACCAAAAGACAGCGUGGAGUGAAAAGACAAGCCACAGAUGGGGACAGUAGCAAGAUAGAGCCAGACAGGGAACUCGUUAACUGGUUGACAGAAAGAGCUGUAAAGAAAAAGUCACGGGAAAGUGGGCAGUUUACCCGCCCUCAGAGAUUAAAUCAUGAGAAAGCGCUCAGUCACAGAGCAGGCAGAUGCUUGGGUCUGAGGGUCCUCUGGCAGCAGGUGGAGUGUGUGAGGAGAGAGGGCACCCCGGUGGGGGCUGCCAUAAGUAGGUGACGGUCGUGAG